UAGAGUUUGAUCCUGGCUCAGAUUGAACGCUGGCGGCAGGCCUAACACAUGCAAGUCGAGCGGUAACACAGAGAGCUUGCUCUCGGGUGACGAGCGGCGGACGGGUGAGUAAUGUCUGGGAAACUGCCUGAUGGGGGGGGAUAACUACUGGAAACGGUAGCUAAUACCGCAUAACGUCGCAAGACCAAAGUGGGGGACCUUCGGGCCUCAUGCCAUCAGAUGUGCCCAGAUGGGAUUAGCUAGUAGGUGGGGUAAUGGCUCACCUAGGCGACGAUCCCUAGCUGGUCUGAGAGGAUGACCAGCCACACUGGAACUGAGACACGGUCCACACUCCUACGGGAGGCAGCAGUGGGGAAUAUUGCACAAUGGGCGCAAGCCUGACGCAGCCAUGCCGCGUGUAUGAAGAAGGCCUUUGGGUUGUAAAGUACUUUCAGCGAGGAGGAAGGCAUUAAGGUUAAUAACCUUAGUGAUUGACGUUACUCGCAGAAGAAGCACCGGCUAACUCCGUGCCAGCAGCCGCGGUAAUACGGAGGGUGCAAGCGUUAAUCGGAAUUACUGGGCGUAAAGCGCACGCAGGCGGUCUGUCAAGUCGGAUGUGAAAUCCCCGGGCUCAACCUGGGAACUGCAUUCGAAACUGGCAGGCUAGAGUCUUGUAGAGGGGGGUAGAAUUCCAGGUGUACGGUGAAAUGCGUAAGAUCUGGAGGAAUACCGGUGGCGAACGCUGCCCCCUGCACAAAGACUGACGCUCAGGUGCGAAGACGUGAUGAGCUAACAGGCUU
rnacentral:rRNA from 1 species